UACAGAGGUCUCAAGCGUUGUUCGGAUUCAUUGGGCGUAAAGGGUGCGUAGGCGGCGCGGUAAGUCGGGUGUGAAAUCUCGGAGCUUAACUCCGAAACUGCAUUCGAUACUGCCGUGCUUUGAGGACUGGAGAGGAGACUGGAAUUCAUGGUGUAGCAGUGAAAUGCGUAGAGAUCAUGAGGAAGACCAGUGGCGAAGGCGGGUCUCUGGACAGUUCCUGACACUGAGACACGAAGGCCAGGGGAGCAAACGGG
rnacentral:rRNA from 1 species